rnacentral:lncRNA from 10 species
AAAGGAAAUGAGUAACCAUUAGCUGGUGAGGAAGAAAGGAAAGCCAGAGGAGGAGUGAAGUAAUGUACGGGGAGCAUUGCCAGGAUUGGAAGGAUGGAAGACUCUGCCAGAUAUAAGACCUUCAGCCUACUCCAUCCAAGGCAUCCAUCUGUCUUCAGAAGAGAUUAGAAUUUUGUUCUGAAGCCAUGCAAAGAGUAAGACCAAGUGCUAACAUCCAAUUUGCAUGUGCCGGGAGAGAAAAUUCUUCAUGGAUCUCUGGUGCUCCUACACAUCUCACUGGUUGGGGGAACUAUGGAGAACACUCAGAGACUAAGCAUCUUACCAAGCCAGAUACUAAUAAAAAUGGACUGAACUGGUGCUGAAACUCAAGACUUGUGAUUAGUAUAGCUCAGUGUUCUUUCCACUAUAGGGAUGCACUCAACUACAGCAUUAUAACUUUUGGCAGUUUAUUACACCGCAAUGAUGUAGGCUGAGGUAGUUGGGCCAGUUUUCUCUUUCAAUUGACACUUUUUUUUUUUUUGGAAAGCUGGAGGAGAGAAUGAGAUAAUAUAUUGUAAAAAGGCAUUUUGAGAUGAAAAGGAAAUAAUUUGAAGUAGUUUAUUCCACAUGACCUAGAUCAGUCCUGUAAAAUAUUAGCUAGUAGUAUCUGCUCAGAAUGACGAGAGUGUGAUUAUGUUCCCUGGGCAAUUUGAUUGUGAGUUAACAACGUAAAGAAACGAAUGACAAAAACAACCACAGAAUUCAACCAGCAUUUUUAUCCAUCUCUUCAGACUAAGGACACCCAGUGGACUCUUGAAGGCUGGUACCCCUGAAAAGCAAGACAUCAGUUUCACUGUCAGCUGGAUGCCAAAGAAGUGCAAACAAAGCAGCAUGUGCCCCAUAUAAACUGGCCCACAGUGCCGCAGAUCCUAGGAACUUGAAGGAGCCAACAGCAGUAGCAACAACAAAACAGCAUUAAGACUACAUUCCCCCUGCCAGCUCCAUUCCCAAACAUGUAUGGAAAAGCCCCUACUUCUACAAGCCCCCAGUCCCUCUGGAGAAUGCUUUCAUUUGAUUGCCUCAGUAUUGAAACUCUUCAAUAAUAGCAUCCAUCAUUGUCAGGUUUCUGGAGGUAAAACUGCUGUGUGAUGAUCAUGUUGGUUGAAAGAAGAUUGAAUUGAGACUACAGAACCCAUCUGUUGCCUUCCAGUCUCCUAGGAGGAAUUUCACGUGAUUCUACUCAUUUCCUUUGGACCUAGCUAGAUUACUACUGCUGUAUAAUAAUGGGCAACUGUUGCUUUAAAGCACAAACUUUUGAUGCUUUUUAUAAUCCCUAUUAGUGAUAGGUCCUAUAGAACAAUAAUCAGUGGAAAUUAUAUAUAUGUAUUUGGUAGGAUCUCAUAAGAAUUUACAUAGGAAAGAUUGAGUCCUUUAAUCUUACAUAGGAAAGAUUGAGUCCUUUAAUCUUUGAGUUUUAGAAAGUUGUAAUAAGUAAUUUAUCAUAAUGAUCUAUUGUCUAGAGUCUUUUGAAGGGUAAUAUAAACACUAAAUCUAUUUGUGACUUUAAAACACCUUUUGGUCCUAUCCAGAAUGACAGGCUGGUGGAGCUAGAAGUCAAGUUAGAACUGUGACAAAUGAAUUCAAGAAACCUUUCUAUCCAGACCCUAUUCUAUUUGGCAGUAAAAUUAGAAGACAUAUUAGGCAGAAAAGAAACGGUUGUUUCUAUCAAUUUAUCUAACCUCCUUCCAUUGCAAAAGAUGACAGGUAACUACUACUUUUCCACAAAUGCGUUUCCCUACUCCACUCCUGGCCCACACCAAAUUCUUGUAGAAAGGCUUGGCAUACAAAUUGUUGGUUAACAACUAGACUAUCUUUCUAGUUGUUCAGAGGGAACUGAAAAUCUUUUUGUAGAGUGUUUUAUUAGAUUUUCAUCUGGAAAAAUUCACUGUUCCAUUUUUUUAACUGCAAUGGUGAAAGAGGAAUUUUGCUGAUUCAGACCUGCUUUUUAAAGAAUUACCUUCAUUUAUUGACCCUUAGAAGGAACAUUCACUGAAUUCAAUGAUUUAUUCAACUAAGAAAAUUUCUUUAGGAUCUACCAUGUGGCAGGAACCUUGCUAGAUGCUAAGGGUAAAGGGAUGAACAAGGUAGAAAUGGCCUCUGUCCUCAGGAGCUAAACUCUAGCACACCAAAUAACAGAAUCUCCUGGAGGCAUAUCCUCUACCAUCCUCUCAGAAUAUUCACAACUAGUUCUUUCUUUCAGAAGAUGAUUAAAAAUGAAGCUUUAACUUUUCUUGGAACAAGCUGAGGUAAACAUAAAUAGAUCAAUUUAAAAUACACUAUCAUACAUAAGCAUUCUCACAUUAACAUCUUUUAAAACCUCUAAACACUUCUGUGAGAAAUAAACAUAUUUCUUGCCUUUAGUAUGAUGUUCAUGAAGCUGAAGAAGUGAUUUUAAGGACUCAGCACUCUCAAACUCAUGAGUAUUCUGGAGGAAAUCUUCAGCUUGGUCUAUUUUAAUAGCAAACUACAAUAGAAAUACAGAGGAAAGACAUUUGACAUUUGUAUAAAAAUUAACGUGCCAUUGUUAGUUACCUGGAGAUGUUUUUCAUAAAUUAGUAGCCCAACUGAGGAUGUGUGAUUAUGCAAGUGCAUAUGUUUGUAUGUGUUUGUGUGUGUUUUGGCUUACAGUGUUUGCAUGAGGGUGUGUGUUUGCAUGUGGUCAAUUUACAAAGUGUCAUUGGUAAGAACUUUCUUCUCCUUUCAUACCUAAUUAUAUAGGCUGAAAUAAACCAACCUGUUUACUGUCCAAAUGCCUAUUAAAUUUUUCAACCAAAAUUAUAGUGUCCUAUGUAUACAGUCACUUUCAACAUUCUAAGGCACUUAGUUAAGAAUAAGCAGAAAGUUAGCUAAGGGAAACCAAGAAAAGGUUAACUAAAAAGCAGUCUAUACAUUUACAAGUAAAUGUAGCUUAGGAACUCACUUAGAGAGAAGGUAGAAGUAUAGUUAUUUUUUCCCUCUAAAAUUGAACUUAGCAGUGAAAUAUGCAAGUUUCUGAAUAAUACAUAGUCUAAUCCAAUAUUUUAUACAAAGCAAAAAAAUAUAUAUUUGUAUAGAAAUUGGUCUCAAAAAAUACACACCAAAUGGUGACUUAAUGAGAAGAAAUGAAAUUAAGGAUGAGUGAGAGGAGGUAAAAUUUUAAUAUUUAAAUCUAUAAUUUGUAAUUCUGUUUGCAUUUUUAUCAAUAAUUUGUAUGCAUUACAUCUAUAAAUAAAAUGAGAUUAGAUGGAGCAAGAAUGACAAGUGAGAAAUUUAUUCCCUGUUUCAAGGAAAAUGCAUAGUAAUUUCACACUCUAAAUGGUGAGGAAUAUAACUGGUCUGUCUUUUUUCUUUUUCUCCAUAGAGGCAGUGGGAGAUUGA